rnacentral:rRNA from 1 species
UACGUAGGGUGCAAGCGUUGUCCGGAAUUAUUGGGCGUAAGGAGCUCGUAGGCGGUUUGUCGCGUCGAAUGUGAAAACCCGGGGCUCAACCCCGGGCCUGCAUUCGAUACGGGCAGACUAGAGUUCGGUAGGGGGAGUCUGGAAUUCCUGGUGUAGCGGUGAAAUGCGCAGAUAUCAGGAGGAACACCGGUGGCGAAGGCGGGACUCUGGGCCGAUACUGACGCUGAGACGCGAAAGCGUGGGGAGCAAACAGG